AGAGUAAAUCAUACAAUCGCAAGCUAAGACUUAUGUCAUAGUUUGAGGAAAGUCUGGGCUCCAUAGGGCAGGGUGCCGGUUAACGACCGGUGAGGGCGACCUCAAGGACAGUGCAACAGAAAGAUACCGCCUGUAUAGGUAAGGAUGGAAAGGUGAGGUAAGAGCUCACCAGCAAUUAGGUAACUAAUUGGCUAUGUAAACCCCACCUGGAGCAAGACCAAGAUAGGAUUUUGAGUGGCUGCCCGUCACAAUCCGGUAGGUAGGUCGCUAGAGCUUGUUGGCAACAAUAAGCGUAGAUAGAUGAUUGUUUAAUACAGAACCCAGCUUAUGAACUUACUCUACUA
rnacentral:RNase_P_RNA from 1 species